UACAGAGGUCUCAAGCGUUUGUUCGGAUUCAUUGGGCGUAAAGGGUGCGUAGGCGGCGCGGUAAGUCGGGUGUGAAAUCUUGGAGCUUAACUCCGAAACUGCAUUCGAUACUGCCGUGCUUGAGGACUGGAGAGGAGACUGGAAUUUACGGUGUAGCGGUGAAAAUGCGUAGAUAUCGUAAGGAAGACCAGUGGCGAAGGCGGGUCUCUGGACAGUUCCUGACGCUGAGGCACGAAGGCCAGGGGAGCAAACGGG
rnacentral:rRNA from 1 species